UGUCACGAUGAUGACUUCAUAAUAUUCAAGCUCAACAGACCGGAUUGCAGGCUCCUCUUUUAGAGUUUGCUUGCAUGUCGAUUACCAUUAUUCCCUUGUAUAAUUGAUU
rnacentral:snoRNA from 1 species